UAUGAAGGGGGCUAGCGUUGCUCGGAAUUACUGGGCGUAAAGCGCACGUAGGCGGCUUUCUAAGUCGGGGGUGAAAUCCUGGAGCUCAACUCCAGAACUGCCUUCGAUACUGGAGAGCUUGAGUCCGGGAGAGGUGAGUGGAACUGCGAGUGUAGAGGUGAAAUUCGUAGAUAUUCGGAGAACACCAGUGGCGAAGGCGACUUACUGGACACAUAUUGACGCUGAGGUGCGAAAGCGUGGGGAGCAAACAGG
rnacentral:rRNA from 1 species